rnacentral:lncRNA from 1 species
AAGGGAAAGAGAGAGCACCUACCUAUGGUGGGCAGUGGCUGAGCAUAUGAAAGAGGUGGUGGUUGUAUUAUUGGUGCUGGCGGCGGCGGCAGUUGUGGUGAUGCUUGUGGUAGAGGUAAUGGAAUUGCAGCAGGUAUAGGAGCUGAAAGUUGAUGUUGUAAAAGAGGAGGUAAUGAAGGUUGAAAAGUACUAACCAUUGGUCUAUCCAUAACAUAAGGUAAGUUGGUAAUAUUGGGAUCUGACCCUCCAC